GCGCGCCUGCCAGGCCGGGGCCGGCGGCGGAACAGCUUGGGACCCGAAACGCCUCGGCUUUUCUGCGGACCCGCGCCCGGCCGCUGCCGCCGGACGCUUGAAAAGAGGCAGAGUCUUGCUUUGUUGUCCAGGCUGGUCUUGAACUUCUGAGCUCAAGUGAUCCUCCCGCCUUGGCCUCCCAAAGUGCUGAGACUACAGAGAGAGAAUGCUAAUGAGCUGUGAAAUGACCAAAGAUCUGGCAGCAGAAGGGAAAAGAAAAAAUAAUGGAAUAUUUUCUGUCCACAAUUGGUUGAAUCUGUGGAUGUGGAAACUGCAGAUACAGAUGGAGAGCUGACUAUACUAGCUUUUUGUUUCAUUUUUCACUUCUGGUGUGUGUGUGUGUGUGUAUCUGUGUGUGUGUAUCUGUGUGUGUGUUUUAUUAAUCUCUGUGCCUGCAUGUUAGUUUCUUCCUCUUUAUUUGGAUUUUCACUAACAUUCUUUUCAGCUUCCUC
rnacentral:antisense_RNA from 1 species